UGGGGAAUAUUGGACAAUGGGCGAAAGCCUGAUCCAGCCAUGCCGCGUGUGUGAAGAAGGUCUUCGGAUUGUAAAGCACUUUAAGUUGGGAGGAAGGGCAGUAAGCUAAUACCUUGCUGUUUUGACGUUACCGACAGAAUAGGCACCGGCUAACUCUGUGUCAGCAGCCGCGGCAAUACAGAGGGUGCAAGCGUUAAUCGGAAUUACUGGGCGUAAAGCGCGCGUAGGUGGUUUGUUAAGUUGGAUGUGAAAGCCCCGGGCUCAACCUGGGAACUGCAUCCAAAACUGGCAAGCUAGAGUACGGUAGAGGGUGGUGGAAUUUCCUGUGUAGCGGUGAAAUGCGUAGAUAUAGGAAGGAACACCAGUGGCGAAGGCGACCACCUGGACUGAUACUGACACUGAGGUGCGAAAGCGUGGGGAGCAAACAGGAUUAGAUACCCAGGUAGUCCCUGAGCGGGCUGGCAAGGCGCAU
rnacentral:rRNA from 1 species